rnacentral:tRNA from 1 species
GUUAUUUUGGCAGAAUAGUGUAAUUGAUUUAGAAUCUUUAAAUGUAAUUUAAAUUACAAAUAACA